rnacentral:lncRNA from 1 species
CAAGUGUCAGCAGAGGUUGCAUUGGGGUGUUGGUGUUCAGGAGCCCGAGCCAGUCGGGGCUCACCAUGGUGGCAGCAGGCUUUAUGACUUGGUCUUUUCCUCUUUCCUUUUCCUCUCAGGUCAUGGCCACCCCGCUGCUGGCUAACUGCAGCUACUUCUGCCAGCCAGUGGACUACAGAUGGAGCAAGCAUGGAAUGAGGGCAUCUUCCUGGAGACAGGAAGGUAGGCAUUGUGGAAUCAGCGGUGCGUAGAACAGUGAGGAUUUGGGGCUGAACCCAGCCCAGGUGGGACAAGCCGUGGCACCAGCCGGACUGCAGUCUGAUGGAACUUCCCCUUCCUGCCCAGCAGAUGGCGAGCGUGUGCUGCUGGUGCCUCUUUCCAAAGGACGUUGAAUUGCUUGACAGGUAGUGUUCUUUACUUUAUGAAUGAAGCCGGAGCAGCCCACCUUCCUGCAUCUCUACCACCAUGGCACCAUGCCCUGUGAUGGGUGGGCUGGAGUCAAAUACGUAGCAGGCAGCCAGGGUCAGUUUGUGGCCACUGCUGCCCCCUCUUCCUACAGUCUCCUCACUGAGUGCCCCUUCCCUGUUGGGUUCAACACAUCUGUGCUCCUGUAAGCCCUCAGCCUCCUGGUUCUCUUCCUCAACUUCUACCACCAGACACAUCUGAGAAGCAAGCAAGAGAGGCUGAACUAGGAGCAGGACCCAGGGACUGAAACCAUCACAGCAUCCCCACAGAGAAUUGGGUGGAAGGCAGCGUGGCUUCCAGCUUACUGGUGCUGAGCAGAUUUCUCUGGGUCUCCACUGUAUCCUCUGAAGGAAGGAGGAGGAUUGCCUUCUGUCCAGAUCUCAGGAUCAAACAAAUAGGUCCAACUUCCUGUGCUCACUUCAGUUAGAGCACUUCUCAUGUGACUUUGUAGCUUUGUGUGCAUCUCCUUCCUCUACUAGACCUAAGCCCCUCACGGGAGGGACUCUCUUAUUCUUGAUGUUCCCCACACCUGGAAUUUCAAUAAACAUCUCAAUAAACGUGUGUGUUUGGAUCCUUGGAUCCCAUGACUGCUGUCAUAACCUUGGUGAAGAAGAGGGCUGGGAGUAGGAAAGAGGUCAAGGUUGGCUUGAUCUCUAACCCUAUAGUGGGAAAUUGUGACGGAGAAUAUUCAAGAGUCGGUGUGGGUCUGUUUGAUUUCAGGUGUAGCUGUGUAAAUAGUUAGCCCUGCAUAUAUUUUUGUCUACUCACAACUGCCUGCAUGUGUAUUCAUACAGUUGUGUGAUUCUGUGUAUGUGCAUGGGGAGUGGGAGAG